rnacentral:rRNA from 1 species
ACGGGAGCAAUAAGGGUUACGAGUAAUCCGAUGAGAGUACUGUAUGAAUAAGGAUCGGCUAACUCCGUGCCAGCAGCCGCGGUAAUACGGGGGAUCCGAGCGUUAUCCGGAAUUAUUGGGUUUAAAGGGUGCGUAGGCGGCCAUUUAAGUCAGCGGUGAAAUUUUGCAGCUUAACUGUAACAGUACCGUUGAUACUGUUUGGCUAGGAUUUGGUUGUAGUGUGCGGAAUGUGUGGUGUAGCGGUGAAAUGCUUAGAUAUCACACAGAACACCGAUUGCGAAGGCAGCACACUAAGUCAUUAUUGACGCUGAGGCACGAAAGUGUGGGGAUCAAACAGGAUUAGAUACCCUGGUAGUCCACACUGUAAACGAUGAUAACUCGCUGUCGGCGAUACACAGUCGGUGGCCAAGCGAAAGCAUUAAGUUAUCCACCUGGGGAGUACGACCGCAAGGUUGAAACUCAAAGGAAUUGACGGGGGCCCGCACAAGCGGAGGAACAUGUGGUUUAAUUCGAUGAUACGCGAGGAACCUUACCCGGGCUCGAACGGUGCAUGAAUAUACGAGAGAUUGUAUAGUCCUUCGGGACAUGUAUCGAGGUGCUGCAUGGUUGUCGUCAGCUCGUGCCGUGAGGUGUCGGCUUAAGUGCCAUAACGAGCGCAACCCUUGUCAUUAGUUGCCAUCAGGUCAAGCUGGGGACUUUAAUGAGACUGCCACCGUAAGGUGUGAGGAAGGGGGGGAGGACGUCAAAUCAGCACGGCCCUUAUGUCCGGGGCGACACACGUGUUACAAUGGGAGGUACAGAGGGCAGCUAUCCGGUGACGGAAUGCUAAUCUCCAAAACCUUUCUCAGUUCGGAUUGGAGUCUGCAACUCGACUCCAUGAAGGUGGAUUCGCUGGUAAUCGCGCAUCAGCCAUGGCGC